rnacentral:lncRNA from 1 species
UCCAUAUGGAGAUAACAGUCACUGAGACUUUAAGUUACUUUUUUAAAAAUUUAAUGUACUUUUUGAAAAUGUCUGAAAAUUCUAAAUGAGAUUAUAAAUCUCUGUUUCUAUAAUAGUUUAGGUGAAGUCCAAAUGGAGGUAUGUGGAUGAGCUCAUAUGCUCAUCUUUGGGUAAAUAUUCAACUGUAUGGAUGAAUGGAAAAAUCCAUUUGACAAUGUAUCAGUUUUUAAUAGUUGAAUCACUUAGCCAAUCAAUAGUCCCUAAAUACUAUAAAGAUCUGGUUCCUAAAACUUAAUGAAUUAUUGAAGAUUUACUUAAAGGGAAAUUUUUUUUUAAUCCCAUCUAAAAGUAAAAUCAAUUAUAAGCUUUUAAAAUAUCAGUUUUUUUUUUUUUUUCUUUUUAUGGCUGCACCUAUGGUAGACAGAAGUUCUUGGGCUAGUGGUUGAUUCUGAGCUGCAGCUGCUAGCCUGCACCACAGCCACAGCAACACAGGAUCCUAGCAGGAUCUUCGACCUACACCACAACUUGCUUGCUGGAAUGUCAGAUCCUUAACCAACCGAGCCAGGCCAGGGAUCAAACCUGCAUCCUCAUGGAUUCUAUGUUGGGUUCUUAACCUGCUGAACCACAACAGGAACAUGAAAAUACCACUUUUUGAAUAUGUUUUUGGAGUUGUGGGUGUGAGAAAUUGCCAGAGGCCAGCUCCGGCAGCCAGGGAGCGUAGGCUUUUUCCGGAAGAAGAUGGACGGACGUCGGCUUUUGCAUCAGAGACAGCCUCUUUGUCCCUCCUUUCAGGGUGCUGGACUACUCAAACUUUAUUGGCAACAGUGGUUGAUUAUAUAGACAAUUUUUCACUAUAGAUUACAUUACAGUGUUAAAAGUACGUUGGUUAACUAUUACAUGGUAUAGCAGCUAUGCAUCCAGUUUUAAGAUCUCUAACUUAACUAAGCUUAGUGAGUACUUUGAAGAGGCCAUAAAACACAAGAAUUUGGCAUUUACAAACUUUGUUUGUAGACUGGUGCUUAUCUUCAAAGUGUUAUGGCAGAGAGACAGUGUAGGUAAAUAUAAACCAACUUAAUUAAACUAGCUAUCACUAAAAAGCUUUUAAAAUCAAAGACAAAACUCACAGCUAGGUUUUUUGGAUAAGAUAUGGCUAACUUCUAUGGACCUCAUUAAAAUCCUAACUCUAAAGUUUACUAUAUAACUAGUUAAUAGAUAAACACUAUGUUUCAACUAAGUUGGAUUUAAAUAAGGGAAAGUCUUUCAGGAUGAAAUAUUUAUUAUACUAUUGUUGUAAUUUUGUUAAGUCACAAAUCACCACAGGACAAUAAGAAUGGGAAAUAAGAAUAAUAAGUAAAUAAUCAGGAAAGACUGAGAAAAACUGAAUAACAAAUAAAACAACAGGAAAGACUAGGUCAACCGAGAAACAAUCCAUGUUCUCCAGUGCAAACAUGGAAAUUGCUUUCCCAGGAAAGCCCCAAUUCUUCCCCAUCAACAUCAUAGUGAGAGCUGUGUAACCUGAGGCCUGCCCUCGGCUUGUACCGUGCAGGCAGGCUUUCAUCCUGACCAGAGGCCCACCUUCGGCAUGCACCAUUCAGGUGAGCUUUUUUCCUGACCAAAAGCUCACCUUCGGCAUGUACCAUUCAGGUGGGCUCCCUCUCUUGGUUAAGAACCUGCCUUCAGGUUUUUCUGCCAUCAGGCAAGGUCCUUUCUUUGAGUCCCUGCAUUUUCUCGGCUCCCCGCAAGAAAUAAUGAAAAAAAGAAAGAAAAGCUAGUCCUAUUCAUUUUGAAAUUGGCACAGCUGCAGAGAUCACGGAGUUCUACUCCCUAAUUUAAAGGACCUAGAUGUGUAAAUGUUUUAACCAAAGUGUACCUCCAGUUGCUGUAGAAUUUUAUACAUUUGCAGAUUCUCUGAUCCCUUAGUCAGUGUACCUUGGAUAGAAAAAAGUGUAUAGAUGAGUUAACUUGAUGAUUAACUUACUCUGAAAAACACAAAGUAAAAAUAAAACACUAACAGCCACAGAUUCCAUGGACUUUGGCAGCAUUCCAGGUCAUUUGCAUCAGAUCUUCAUAUGUUAAAUAGAUUAUAAUAAAAAAGUCAGGUUGGUUUAUUGAACUUCAUUUCACAAGUGAGCAAUAGGUAACCUGUUAAGUUGUAGUCUUACCAUGUGUUUGUGGACAUGAAAAAAAAUCAAACCAAUAUGUUGGUUAACUUUAUGGGAAUAAAUAAAAUUAGCCUGUGAUUAAAGUGUCCUACAGUUAUGGUUAUAUGCAUAUUAAUGCGUGUAUGUUAGAUUGGUCAUGCUUAGAAUAUCCUCAUUCCUGGCAUGAGGCUAAUAUCUGUACAUACCUGAUAUCAGCUAAUGCACUGUAAGGACCUGUAGCUUGGAUUCUGAUGUGUGUGUGUGUGUGUGUGUGUGAAUAUGAUAACAUCAUGACAGAAUUAAAAGGUAGAAUGUUUCUCCAAAUGGACUUUUAUGUAAGGAGACAAUAAAAAUCUGAAGUGUUUAGUUUUAUUUAUUUUUUUCUUUCAAAACUUUGUUAGGAAAAAAUAGGUUUAAACUAAGGCACAUUUUAUUGCAUUUUAAACCUAAUAUUUCUUUAUAAAAAUAUAUACAUUUAACGUUUUCAAACAUACAAAAAAUGUAUGGAUCCUCUUUGAUGGCAUUGCUUCUUUCUACUGGGUGUGAUGGACAUCACAGAUAGUACAGUGAUUAAACACAGGUUUUUGGUAUCAUAUGAUAUCACUUAUAUUUGGAACCUAAAAUAUGGCACAAAUGAACCUAUCUACAAAACAGAAACAGAUUCAAAGACAUGGAGAAUAGACUUGAGAUUGCCAAGGGAGAGAGAGGAGGGAGCGGGAUGGACUGGGAGUUUGGGAUUAGUAGAUACAAACUAUUACAUUUAGAAUGGAUAAGCAAUGAGGUCCCAUGCUUUAGCACAGGGAAUUAUAUCCAGUCUCCUAGGAUACACAUGUAUAACUGAGUCAGUUGGCUGAACAGAAAAAAAUUGGCACAACAUUGUAAACCAACUAUGCGUUAAUUAAAACAACAACAAAACCACAGGUAUUUGCGUAAACAUUUCCUAGGAUCCCAGUCCUUUAUUUGCCUUUUAGUGACUUCUUAAAACAUUAGUUGGUUUAUUUCAAUCAGUGGCUCUGUUUCCUCAUCUAUGAAAAGCGUAUAAUGACAUUUAUUGUGAGGAUUAAACAAGGUAACUCACAAAAAUGUUAGUGUACUUCCCAGGACACUGGAAGCAUUAAAUAAGUGUUAACUUUAUUAUUGUUCUGUUGUUAUAUUAUCAGUUGUUACAGGUACCAACAUAAUUUGAAUCAGUGCUCUCAAGCAAAGAAUUAGAGACAUUAGAGAAGCCUACAUAGGAUUGUAGCAGAGUGCCUCCACCCCUGCUCCAGAAUAGACAUUGUUCAAGAUAAGUUGCAUUUGUUAUCAGUUGAUCCUGAUUAGUUAUGGAUUUAUAGCACCAAGGGUCUGCCAUAGAUUUAGUGGUUGCUGGCUUGCAGAUUUCACCAGCUAUUUUGGAUACUGGAAUAAGAAAAUGGGAGUGCUUGCCAGACAGUACUUCCUAAUAAUGAAUUAUAUGUAACUCAUGCAUGAACAUUGAUCCAAAAGAUCUGGAGGAGAGAAUAGAGGAGAAACUAUAGUUUUGUAUCUUGGGUUUGUAACAUCAUAAAAUGAGGUCCUGCUGUAUAGCACUGGGAACUAUAUCUAGUCAUGUAUGAUGGAGCAUGAUAAUGUGAGAAAAAAGAAUGUAUACAUGUAUGUGUAACUGGGUCACCGUGCUGUACAGUAGAAAAUUGACAGACACUGUAAACCAGCUAUAAUGGAAAAAAUAAAAAUCAUUAUAAAAUUUAAAAAAAAGAAUGAAAUAUUGUAGUGAGAUUGUAUGGGAAAUUAAGUCAGGUUGGAAAGUGAAACAUUUGACACACUAAAGAAAUUGUAAAGUAAUUCUUAAAGGCAUCUUUAUGAUGUAUAUAUAAUUUGGACAGAUCUAAAAUAAGUAUGUAAUUAGCUAAUAUUUAGAUAGUAAAGUAAAGGUUACUUUCACAGAAAAAUAUAGAACAGUCAACCUAAGUUAUGGGAAAUUAAACUAGUGUACAUUAGUUAAUUUGCCAUAUAGAACAUUAUAAUGCACACCUUAAUUCAAAUUACUGCUCUGCUGUAUUAUCUAUUAAUUUUUGUCACUAUGUAUUUAAAUAUAAAUUAGAAACGUCACGGUUUCAUUGCUACUUUAAAUAUAUAUAUAUAUGCUUGUAUAUUGUGAAUGCUUGCUGCCAUCCCUGAGUUUAUAUUUUAAGCAUCUUAUCAUACUAAGUUUGAAUUCCUUUAUUUAAAAACUUUUUGGUAAACGCCCCUAGUAAAGAAGUACUGUUGUUAAAGAGCAAUUUUUUUUAAUGGCCACGCACGUGACAUAUGGAAGUUCCAGGGCCAGGGAUUGAAUCCGAGCCGCAGAUGUGAUUUAAGCUUUAGCUGGAGCGAUACUGGCGACUUUAACCCACCAGGCUGGGGAUUAAACGUGCACCUCUGCAGUGACACAAGCCACUGCAGUUGGAUUCUUAACACACUGCACCACAGUAAGAACUCCUUUUUUUUUUAAUUAAAAAAAUUUAUAAAGUGCAAUUUUGAAGCCCAAGAUUAUGACCUUGAAAGGCACAUAUGAGAAAAAAAAAUGUACUCCUUCUUGAAGAAAGUAUUUUGACUAUGGAUAUUUUGUUUGAUUCUACAAAGAUUAAUUUUGGUGCUUUCAACUUAUAGAUACUACUUUUCACAUGACAAAGAGCUGUAUAAUAACUUCACUUUCAUGUUUGUGGAGAUGGAUGGGCCAGUUUAUACACACAUGUAAGCAAAUAAACAAAGUAUUAUCACUGAUUAAAAUUCCCUUGAUUGUAGAUAGCAAUCAGAUUGUACUACUAUUUAUAUCUCCCAGCAACUAGGCUAUUUGUUGACUGAUGUUCACCUGAAGAUUAUGAUCUGCCCAUCAUUUCAAAUAACAUUUAUUGUUAUAUCCAAAGGGUAGUUAAUAGACAUUUUUUUACUGGGAGAAAAAUCUGGUGAUUCCAAUUAUAUUGUAUUUUAGGAAUUUACUAUUUAUAAAAUAUUUUCUGUUUAUGUAUAUAUAUGUAUAUACAUAUAUAUAUAUAUAUAUAGUUUAUGUUGGGGCAAUAUCAGAUGGUAUGUUUAGACAUAGUCCCUGAGCUUGUUU